AAAAAAAAAAAAAAAGGGGAAUCUGAAUUAGAGUCAACAGUGAUCAGCAGGAAAUUCCAUUCCUGAAGUGAACCAAAGAGUGAGCUCUCGCUUAGUUCGCGUUGCCGGGUUCAGCUGCGGAAGGAAGAUGACGGUUGCUAAGCCUCUGGCCUUCAACGUCGCCGUUUCAAUCCCAAUCAUCACCACCAUCACCACCGAUACCACCAAACUCGCAUACCAAAAAUCAAACCCCAAUUUACUUCAGACUUUUGGCUCAAAUGGCGGUAGAAACAGUCUGAGGCUUGUGUCUUGUGGGUGUGCUGCAAUUUCAACGACAGUGCGAGGUGCAUUUGAUCCAGAGCUCCGAUCAGUGCUUGAACUUGCCACUGAUUCUGAGUUAUUUGAGCUUGAAAACAUUCUUUUUGGACCAAGCUAUUUCAGCCCUUUGCUUAAAUCAAUACCAAGUGGAACCAAUGUGGACUAUGAAAUGAUUGACAAAGAUCUUGAAGAGCGAGAGGAAUUCAUACAGGCUCUUGAGUCUCGAUUCUUAUUCCUUGCGGCUGAUGCUCGAUCUACAUUAAGGGGCUGGAGGCCAUCAUAUAGAAAUGUCUUGCUUGCUGUGAGAAAAGAAUUAAAUAUUCCUUGCUCAUGCAAAUUGUCAACUGAAGACCUUGAAGCAGAAAUAUUUCUUUAUUUGUUGCAAGACAACUCAAGUGAAGAAUAUGAAACUUCUCCAGGCUUAUUGGAAUUCAAAAAGCCAUCUAAUAGUCAAGGUAGUCUAGAACUUGGACUCAGUCAAAAAAAGGUGCAGGCUUUUUCUACAUUGAAAGAUUUUUGGUCAGUAGUUUUGAAGGGUGGUAGUAUGCUAACGUUGGCAAAUAUUUUUCAGUUGUUAUCAAAGAGACUAUCUGGGAAAGUUUUUCUAGAAGCUGCCAAUUAUCUGGUGAAAAAGGAACUGAUAAAAAAGGGUGGACAGCUAGCUGCAAUUAAUUUAGAGUCUAGAGCAGCCUUGCUUGCUGCAAAACAGGGUUUUGCAGGUGCUGCAUCAAGAUAUCUUGGCUUAAGGAGUAUGAUGGCUCUACUCGGUCCAGUGCUAUGGGGAACAUUUCUGGCAGAUGUUGUCAUUCAAAUGCUAGGAACUGAUUAUGCCAGAAUCCUGAGAGCAAUUUAUGCUUUUGCACAGAUUCGUAUCACCCGCACACACAAGUUACCAUCUGAUGAAGACUGAAGAGCUCACUAUCUCACUUAAGGUGUAUGUUUGACAUUUUGUCAAAUAGAUUAGAGCUUUAGAUGGUUCCUGUGCAGCAUACACAAUGAAGGGGCUUAUAUGAAGAAGUUUCUGAUCGAAAAUUCUUCAAAGGACCUGUGAGGCACCUCUUCUGAGUUAGCUUGAUCUUCACUCUAUUUCAUAUUUGCUCAGUUUCAAAUCAAAUAAUCGCAGGAUUUCUUCCAUCAACCUUCAUAUUGAAGCCCUUAAUGCUAAUGCAGGCUCCUGUUCAUAUAUAUCCGAAUGUCAGUGCAAUUUGGAAAAAUAUAAAUUGUGGAAUAUCAUUUAGAAAUUAACUUGGUAUGGUGACAAUGUUAGUACCUGUUACAUACUUUUCU